AUGUUCCGGCGUGCAGUGGUGGAGGAGUUUGGCCCAGAGGAAUUCGAGUCAACGAUGCACAAUCUUCUUCAGCUCCGUCAGACAGGAACAGUGGUUGAAUACAGACAACAGUUUGAGGUUCACAUGUAUAAUCUGAUUGCCCUCGACUCGACCCUGAGCUCCAAAUUUUUCGUCACCCAAUUCUUGCUUGGCCUGAAGGAUGACAUGCGCGCCACCGUGCGUAUUCAGGUACCCACCAGCAUCACCAGGGCGACAGUGUUUGCCAGGAUUCAGGAAGAGGAAUUGGAACUUCAGCGUUCCAGAUUCAGACCGCCAUCUGCAGGCAGACCACCACCAUUGUCGGGCAUAGUACCACCACUAGGACGGCCACCUCCUGCACCAUCAGCGCCCUCUCCGACCGCUCCAGCACCGCGGAUCGCCCUAGCACCAAAGCCAGCCGCGGACGACUUCGGGCGUGAGCGGCAGUUGCGGGAUUACAGACGCCAACACGGCCUCUGCUUUCGUUGCGGGGACAAAUACUCCCGUGAUCAUCAAUGCAAACGCUCUGCUCAGCUACUGACGAUUGAAGUGGGCGAUUUUGGAGAAGUACUCUCUGAUGAUGCAGUGCAUGCCCUGGAACUAUUGGAUGAACCUGCAAACACCGAUGCUACUUGUUGUCUCCUAUCAGCUCACGCCGUGGAGGGCACCGAAGCACCAGAAACUAUUCGACUGCAUGCCACAGUGGGUGAUCAAACUAUGUUGCUGCUCGUCGACUCCGGCAGUACGCACAGUUUUGUGAACUCCACAUUUGCUCAGCGCAUCAAAGCUCCAACAACAGAUAUUCCAGCAAUCAAGGUUCGAGUCGCCAACGAACAGAGCCUGAACUGCACGGCUAUGGUGCCUCAGCUAGCCCGGACCUCCCACAGACAUACCUUUGCCACAGACAUGCGCGUCCUCGAUUUAGGAGGCUACGAUGCAGUGCUCGGUGCGGAUUGGCUGGGACAGCACAGCCCAAUGCAGUGUGACUGGAACCUGAAGACCAUGCAAUUUGAUCGUCAGGGAGAAACAAUUAAGCUGACAGGUGUGCGCACUGGUGAUCAACAUCAACUCACAGCCCUAGAUGCUGCAACCUUAUGGCAAAUGCAUGACGCUAACGACAUAUGGGGGGCAGCUUUAGUGGAGAUUCAGCUAACAUCUGAGACGACAUCCGACUCUGACAUGCCUACUCCGCCUACCAUUCAGCGCAUCCUGACGGAGUUCAGUGACAUCUUCGAGGAACCAACCCAACUUCCUCCCCAUCGACAGUACGAUCACGCCAUUAAUUUGGAGCCAGGUGCAGCACCUGUCAACUGUCGACCCUACCGGUACUCUCCGUUACAGAAAGACGAGAUUGAACGUCAAGUGGAAGAAAUGCUUCGCACGAGCAUCAUUACACACAGCAUGAGCCCCUUCGCAGCCCCGGUGCUCCUGGUCAAGAAGAAGGACGGAACAUGGCGUUUCUGUGUGGACUAUCGACGUCUCAAUACCGUCACAAUCAAGAACAAGUUUCCUCUUCCUGUCAUCGACGAACUCUUGGAUGAACUCUCUGGUGCCGCCUUCUUCUCCAAAAUUGACUUGCGAGCGGGGUACCAUCAGAUUCGCAUGCGUGCGGGCGAUGAGGAAAAGACGGCCUUCAAGACACAUCAUGGUCAUUUUGAGUUCCGCGUCAUGCCCUUCGGCGUCACCAACGGCCCGCCCACAUUCCAAUGUGUGAUGAACUCGGCGUUCGCCGGGCCAAAUCGUAAGUUUGUGAUCACUUUUCUUGAUGACAUUCUCGUCUUCAGUCACACCUUGCAGGAGCAUGAAGCUCAUCUACGCACAGUCUUCUCCAUCCUCCGUGAGCAUCAGCUAUAUGCCAAGCUUUCCAAGUGUUCGUUCGCGCAACCCCAAGUCGAGUAUUUGGGCCAUGUAAUCUCCAAAGAGGGCGUGGCCACGGAUGCGAGCAAGACCAGUGCCAUGCGCGCGUGGCCCACACCGACAAAUGCCACAGAAUGGCGCGGGUUUCUGGGCCUCACCGGCUAUUACCGCAAAUUCGUGCCGCGUUAUGGGAUUAUCGCCAAGCCCCUCACUCAGCUCCUCACCAAGAAAGGCUUCGCCUGGUCGGCACAAGCACAAGCAGCGUUCGAUCUGCUCAAGGAUGCCAUGGCAAGCACGCCUGUCCUGGCGUUGCCUGAUUUCUCACGCCCAUUCUCUAUCGAGACGGACGCGUGUGACACAGGGGUGGGCGCAGUCCUGGUGCAAGACGGCCACCCAAUCGCCUACCUCAGCAAGGCUCUGGGCAUACGCAAUCAGCGUCUGUCGAUCUACGAGAAGGAGUUCCUCGUGGUGAUCAUGGCCGUGGACAAGUGGCGCACUUACCUCCAGCGCGCCCCGUUCGUCAUUGUCACGGAUCAUAAAAGCCUCUGCCAUCUCGGCGAUCAACAAUUGGAAACAGAGUUGCAGCGCAAGGCCAUGUCUAAGAUGGUGGGUCUCCAAUUUUCUUUCAAGUACCGCCGCGGCACGGACAAUGGCGCAGCUGAUGCACUAUCCCGCGUCGGUCACCUGCUCUCUCUGGAUGCCCUCUCCAUUUGUCAGCCCCAAUGGCUCCAGGAAGUAAGCAACUCCUAUGAAACUGACACGGACAGUCAAGAUUUGCUGCAACAACUCGCUCUGUGCAGCCCGGAUGAUCAAGGUUACGAAUUACGCCAAGGCACCAUUCGCUUCCAGAACAGGAUCUGGAUUGGCGCCAACAUAGCCCUACAGACCAAAUUGAUCAACGCAUUCCAUGCAAGUGUAGUUGGGGGACAUUCGGGAGUGACAGCAACUUAUCAACGUGUCAAGAAACUGUUCGCUUGGCGGGGUCUGAAACAAGCAGUGGAAGACUAUGUUCGUCAGUGUUCUAUCUGUCAGCAGGCCAAGCAUGAACAUCUGAAAACACCUGGACUGCUACAGCCACUCCCAAUUCCAUCAGAACCGUGGCGGGACCUCACUAUGGAUUUCGUCGAAGGAUUGCCAGUGUCCGAGGGCUACGAGGUGAUUAUGGUGGUGGUCGACCGCUUCACCAAAUAUGUCCACUUUGUUCCUCUUCGCCAUCCAUUCACAGCAACAACAGUGGCUCGAGCAUUUUGGGAUAACAUUAUCAAGUUGCAUGGAGUACCCCACUCCAUCGUAUCGGAUCGCGACCCGGUUUUCACCAGUGCAAUGUGGCGUGCUCUUCUGGAGGCAGCAGGAACAAAACUCAGCUAUUCCACAGCAUAUCACCCGCAGACGGAUGGUCAGAGUGAACGAGUCAACCAAUGUCUCGAGAUGUAUCUUCGGUGCGCCGUACACGACCAGCCAAAGAAAUGGCGACAAUGGUUACCUACUGCAGAGUUCUGGUACAAUACCACCCAUCACUCCUCGCUGAACACUUCACCCUUCCAAGUGCUAUAUGGUCAGGAGCCCAACUUGGGAGGACUGCCCACACUGGCCCGCACGAUGCCACAGGAUACUGAUGCAAAUUUGGAUUGGGCUACACAUAAUGAACAACUCCGUGUUCAGCUGGCCCGGGCUCAAAACAGAUACAAGCAAAAGGCUGAUCGCCACAGGACAGAUCGCUCUUUCCAAGUGGGUGAACAAGUUCUUCUGAAGCUGCAACCUUAUGCUCAAUCUACUGUGGCCAACCGUCCCUGCCCCAAAUUAGCAUUCAAGUUCUUCGGACCAUUCACCGUCGAGCAACGGAUCGGUUCUAUGGCUUACAAACUGCAGUUACCAUCAAACAGCCACAUUCAUCCGGUCUUCCAUGUAUCACAGUUGAAGCCAUUCACACCUGACUACUCUCCGGUCUUCUCCGAAUUGCCUCGUCCGCCCGACCUGACUGCUGCACCACUACAACCCGAGUUGAUACUGGAUCGCCGCAUAGUCAAGAAAGGUAACACCUCAGUCGUGCAGGUCUCUAUUCAGUGGUCCUCGCUCUCUCCAGAUUCGGCAACAUGGGAAGACUACACCGUCCUACGUCAUCGCUACCCCAACGCUCCAUGCUGGGCUCAAGACGCUCUCGCUCAAGGGGGGGAAAUUGUCACACCUGCUACGAUGUAG
rnacentral:rRNA from 1 species